rnacentral:rRNA from 1 species
ACGGGUGAGUAACACGUGGGAACGUACCCUUUGGUUCGGAAUAACGCUGGGAAACUAGCGCUAAUACCGGAUACGCCCUUUUGGGGAAAGGCUUGCUGCCGAAGGAUCGGCCCGCGUCUGAUUAGCUAGUUGGUGGGGUAAUGGCCUACCAAGGCGACGAUCAGUAGCUGGUCUGAGAGGAUGAUCAGCCACACUGGGACUGAGACACGGCCCAGACUCCUACGGGAGGCAGCAGUGGGGAAUAUUGGACAAUGGGCGCAAGCCUGAUCCAGCCAUGCCGCGUGAGUGAUGAAGGCCUUAGGGUUGUAAAGCUCUUUUGUCCGGGACGAUAAUGACGGUACCGGAAGAAUAAGCCCCGGCUAACUUCGUGCCAGCAGCCGCGGUAAUACGAAGGGGGCUAGCGUUGCUCGGAAUCACUGGGCGUAAAGGGCGCGUAGGCGGCCAUUCAAGUCGGGGGUGAAAGCCUGUGGCUCAACCACAGAAUUGCCUUCGAUACUGUUUGGCUCGAGUUUGGUAGAGGUUGGUGGAACUGCGAGUGUAGAGGUGAAAUUCGUAGA